rnacentral:rRNA from 1 species
GUGCACGCUGGCGGUCGGCCUAACACAUGCAAGUCGAACGGCAGCACCGUAAGAGCUUGCUCUUACGGGUGGCGAGUGGCGGACGGGUGAGGAAUACAUCGGAAUCUACUUUUUCGUGGGGGAUAACGUAGGGAAACUUACGCUAAUACCGCAUACGACCUACGGGUGAAAGCAGGGGAUCUUCGGCCCUUGCGCGAUUGAAUGAGCCGAUGUCGGAUUAGCUAGUUGGCGGGGUAAAGGCCCACCAAGGCGACGAUCCGUAGCUGGUCUGAGAGGAUGAUCAGCCACACUGGAACUGAGACACGGUCCAGACUCCUACGGGAGGCAGCAGUGGGGAAUAUUGGACAAUGGGCGCAAGCCUGAUCCAGCCAUACCGCGUGGGUGAAGAAGGCCUUCGGGUUGUAAAGCCCUUUUGUUGGGAAAGAAAAGCAGCAGGUUAAUACCCCGCUGUUCUGACGGUACCCAAAGAAUAAGCACCGGCUAACUUCGUG